CCACCCCUUGUUGGGAAAUAAUAUGGUCGAGAUACUCCAAUUGUAGUUGGCCAAAAACACACUUCUUCUUAUUGAGCUUCAAUUUGUGCUGAUGCAGCACCUUCUUGUAAGUGGAUAGAAUGCUCAUGUUCUCUACUAGGGGGUAAUCCCUCUAAUUCCUGGAAAAUGUCUUCAUUGGCUGCCAAAUUGGAGAGAACUUGUCGUGGUACUGGAACAGUCCCAAAGUUCUUAAUUUC
rnacentral:lncRNA from 1 species